UACCAGCACCCCGAGUGGUCGGGACGAUUAUUGGGCCUAAAGCAUCCGUAGCCGGUUCUGCAAGUCCCCCGUUAAAUCCAGCUGCUCAACAGAUGGGCCGCGGAGGAUACUACAGAGCUAGGAGGCAGGAGAGGCAAGCGGUACUCAGUGGGUAGGGGUAAAAUCCGUUGAUCCAUUGAAGACCACCAGUGGCGAAGGCGGCUUGCCAGAAUGCGCUCGACGGUGAGGGAUGAAACAGG
rnacentral:rRNA from 1 species